ensembl:snRNA U1 U1 spliceosomal RNA
GUACUUACCUGGCAGGGGAGACAUCAGGAUCAUGAAGGAAGUUUUCUCAGAGUGAGGCUUUUACAUUAACUCUGGAUGUUCUGACCUUUGCGAUUUCCACAAAUGUGGGAAACUCAGCCGCAUAAAUUGUGGUAGUGGGGAGGACUGCAUUCAUGCUGUCCCUUG